UAUCUGACUUUUUGUUAACGUAUUUAGCCACAUAGAAACCAACAGCCAUAUAACUGGUAGCUUUAAGCGGCUCACCUUUAGCAUCAACAGGCCACAACCAACCAGAACGUGAAAAAGCGUCCUGCGUGUAGCGAACUGCGAUGGGCAUACUGUAACCAUAAGGCCACGUAUUUUGCAAGCUAUUUAACUGGCGGCGAUUGCGUACCCGA
rnacentral:rRNA from 1 species